UACGGGGGGAGCAAGCGUUGUUCGGAUUUACUGGGCGUAAAGGGCGCGUAGGCGGUCAGCACAAGUCAGUUGUGAAAGCUCCGGGCUUAACCCGGAAAGGUCAACUGAUACUGUGCGACUAGAGUGCGGAAGGGGCAACUGGAAUUCUCGGUGUAGCGGUGAAAUGCGUAGAUAUCGAGAGGAACACCUGCGGCGAAGGCGGGUUGCUGGGCCGACACUGACGCUGAUGCGCGAAAGCCAGGGGAGCGAACGGG
rnacentral:rRNA from 1 species